rnacentral:rRNA from 1 species
GACAGAGGGUGCAAACGUUGUUCGGAAUUACUGGGCGUCAAGCGCGUGUCGGCGGCCCAGCACGUCGGAUGUGAAAGCCCUGGGCUUAACCUAGGAAGUGCAUUCGAAACUGCUGGGCUUGAGUUCUGGAGAGGAAGGCGGAAUUCUCGGUGUAGAGGUGAAAUUCGUAGAUAUCGAGAGGAACACCGGUGGCGAAGGCGGCCUUCUGGACAGUGACUGACGCUGAGACGCGAAAGCGUGGGGAGCAAACAGG